GCCCGGGUAGCGCAGUCGGUUAGCGCGUCAGUCUCAUAAUCUGAAGGUCGCGAGUUCGAGUCUCGCUCUGGGCA
rfam:Echinococcus multilocularis genomic scaffold, pathogen_EmW_scaffold_04